UGCCCCGUGGCUGAGUUGGUUACAGCGUCCGACUGUUACACCAGGUUCGCAGGUCUACUUCAAUCGGAAGGUCGUGAGUUCGAGCCUCACCGGGGCAG